GCCCGGGUGGCGUAACCGGUAGCCGCGGAGGUCUUAAACACCUCUGCCCGAAAGGGCGUGUGGGUUCGAAUCCCACCCCGGGCA
rnacentral:tRNA from 1 species